AAGUUCAGUUCUCUUUCUCUCUCAGUCUGAUGGUCAUGAUGUUUAGACUGAACCAAGCAGCACUUCUCAUUCCGCUAUUAGUGAUGUGGCAUGUCUUUGCAGGAAUCACUAAAGACGACCGCAGAGCUGUGCUGGUGUCCAGAGGAGACUCCGUGACGCUGACUUGCAAUAUAAGACAUAAUAAUGUGACCCUAGUCUCUUGGACCAACAGCAGAUGUGUUUUUCAAUAUUCCAAUGUGCUGAAUCGCACCCAUUCAAAUUUCUCUUUUCAUAGACUGAAAAUAAAUCGUGAGUUUCCUACAAAGCGAAUUAUUUUUAGUGCUCAGCCUGAAGAUCCCGGACUUUAUACAUGUAGCAUAACAGACAGAAGUGGCAUAAACAGCAUUACAUGGAGUUUAACUGUGUCUGAGCACCCCAAAGAUUCCGCUUCAUCGAAGUAUUUUCUAUACAUACUCCCAUCUGCAAUUGGAAUCAUUCUAUGUGGCAUCACACUAGCUGUCUUUAUCUGUGGUAGGAUGUGCAAAUUGUGAUGAAGACACUGAAUCAGGAUCUGGUCCAGGAUCAGUUUCCUCCUCAGUCAGGAGAAGAGGCAGUUCUUUCUCAACCACAGGGUGGCGCUGUUUGUUGUGAAAAUAAAAAGCAGAGGCAUCACUAUAUGGAGAGGGUGAAUACAAUCUAUGAUAAUGUCUAAGCAGAUUAACAAUCCACAUAAACAGUUUUAAUGAAGGGGAUUUUAAGGGGGCACCAUCAGAGGGAGGACAACGGUGCUACUAUAGCCAAUAGAACAAAUCCCUCUGCUUACACGAAGCAGCCAAUUAGAAGAAGGUUUGUAUUAAAGAACACGAGAAGGGAACUAAACAUGUUGUUUCAGAGACAGGAUGAACUGCAGGUCUACCAAAUAAAUAGGGAUGACAUGAAACUGUGAAUCAGAACAAGUCGACUCCAAGUGUAACUUAAAUGUUCAAGAAUUUUCCUUAAAGUUUUCACGUUAUGACAAUAAUGUAUUUUCAGCUCAAGCUCGUUAAUGUUUUUUCCAUCUAGGUCUUCAUUAUAAGCUUGUUCCAGGGUGAUUGUGUAUUUUUUUUAGCAUUAGUGUGCGUGCGUGCGUGCGCGCGCGCGUGCGUGCGUGUGUGUGUGUGCGUGUGCGUGUGAGUGUUAUUCCAUCUGUAAACAAAAUAACUUGAAAGAAAUUCUGAUAAAACCUUGCAGAGUGGGGUCAUGUUAACGAUCCUUUAACAUUUUGAUUAUGUCCACUGAGGCCUUCAAGGUCAACUUAAUGAUGAUUCUUACAAGUGUAAUACGGAGCUGUUUAAAACUUUGUUUAUUGCUACCAUUGGUUGUGUUGACAACAUAUAAAGGAUAUGAGUGAAAUAGGGUCAAACUUUCAUAAAAGUACUAUCCCCUUAAAUGUAAAAACUGCUCCCUUGGUGGAGGUUUGUGCUCCCGGAACACUUCUUGUAAUAGUUAUAUAUUACAUAAUGUUUUGUUUAUAACUAGUUUAUAUUGAAUUAUUGUUUAAAUAUUAUAUUGAUUAUGAUUUAAUUUGUCAUGUGCUUAAAUUUCAUGCAUCGUUAAAUGAACUGCUUUUUUGUCCCCUGCAAGUAACCACUUCCUGUUCUUGGCAUCACCUUGAAAAUCACACGUAGAAGUGAAGCUUCACUUUGUCUGUCUGUAAUCAUGUUUGAUCCAGAUCAAUCAGACAUUCUCUUUAAUUCAUUCUUAGCUGUGUGCCAUG